GGACCACCUCUAGAUGCAGCUGCACACAAGCCUGCUGGCAACAACCCUCCCACCCCACAGAGCCUCCUCUGCCAGCUCGUGGCAUCGCAACCUAGAAGUCACCUAGAAGCUGCAUGACCUCAUCACCUCCGUGAGGACACUCCCAGCUAGGUGUGAAGGUCCAGGCCUGUCCCUGCUGUAACUGCAGGCAGUUCAGUGGCUGAACUCAGCCCCUUCUCCCACCACACCAGCUUUCCCGCAAUCAGCUUUGCCAGUAGGAAACACAGCAAAGGGCCUCACCGCCACGCAGGGCUUCAGCAGUGGAUUUGCUUUAAUAAAGUUUGCCAGAUGCUCUUUACAAGCAUCACGGAUGGCACUUGGCAGCCUUUAUUGCAGUGCCUCGAUGGCUGAGAGAUCCCGCCUGCCUUGCAGCUGCUUUUCCUCCUGGGUGGAAUCGUUGCAGCUUUUGCUGAGCAUCGCUUGGGGAAGGACAGGGAGCUCUGCUCAGAAAUUGCUGCUGCUUUCUAGCAACCUCUGGCCUCCUCGCCUGCACAGGGGCACAUGGUGCUGAGACACGGGAAGUACCCAGGAGCUGGGGAAAUGGUGUCUGCCCACCCCAGCCAGAUGCUCUUUGGCAAUAGGUCCCUGCCGUAUCACUCCUGAUCCGAGCAGUGAGGCUCCAGAGGAGGGAAGACCCCUCAGUGCUACCCCACCAUCUCUGCAGAAGGUCCUGGCAUUCAGCUUCCUGGUGAAGCCAGGUUGCUGAUGGUUUCAUGUAGAGCAGGCAGGGCUUUCUGGGAGGUUUCCUAUAUGACCUCCUGCAGGACAUCCUCUUCCCUGUGAGGAAAAACAGCGGAGGACAGGGAGCAAAGCUGGUUGACCUGCUCUCUCUGGCCUGCCCAGAGAUUUUCUUGCUGGAGGCUGCUCUCAGUGAAUCCUGCCUGCCCCAGCCCUACCAGAGCUCAGCCCAUGAGUGAGGGCCAGGCGUGAGCCGGGAGGACACGCAGCCGAUGGGUGCGAGGACGGGGACACACGGACACGUGGGAUAUGCUCUCCCCCAGACAGCCGUUGGAUGGGGGCUGGAGGCUUGGCCCCCCCGGGGAGAUGGGAGCUGCCGUGUGGGGCUUGCCGGCAUGGACAGCGGCGUGGGAGCAGCCGGAGCUGCCGGGGGGACAAGCCUUUGGGAGCCUUUCGGGAGGGCAUCAGACUGCGGCCGCCACCGCCGGAGCUUUCCCGCAAGCCUGCUGGCUGGAUCGUGCCUCCCGCCAGAGCAUCCCCGUGUCCGGUGGGUGCUCAGCUCACUGACCACUGAGCAAACAAUGAUCCUCAUCGCUGCCUCUCGUUUCAUGCUGGAAAUGAGCUCUGGAAGCAGCUCCAGGUGCCCCCCGCGAGCGCUGCCGGAUUGCAGUUCCUAUAGAAACACCCACAGCAGCCACUCACUCCAGCCCCGUGCAGCAAAUUCCCAUCUGCGAGCAGCCACGGUCCGAUGGAUACACACCCAGAGCAAUUCAUCUGAGUCGCGGUGGCAAAGCUGGGGUUGCCGUACAUUUCGGCUGCUACCGGCGCAAUCGCUGCUCGGCAGGGACUGCCGUGUCCGGCUGCUGGGGCUGAAAGCCUGGACGCGGGGAGGCGUGGGGAGCCUGGCUCUCCUCUGCAGGUGUUCGUGCCACGCGCUCACCCAAAAUGUUUGGAGCCAGAGAAGCCCCGCCAUCCCGGGUCCAUCAGCCCCAUGGGGCCACGAUGCCCCACUGCCUUUUUGGAGGCCCCUAGGGGCUGGAAGAUGAAAUUCAGCAGAGCUUUCGGGGCUGAGGAGCAGGUUGUAGUGGCAGGCGGCCUUCAGCUGUCCCACGCCGAGGAUGCACAUUUCAUCUCCCCUCCUGCCCCAGCCACCAGUGAAGCUGAAGGCAGCCAGGAACUCCUGCCGGAAAGGCACCUUGGCAUGCCAAGGGCCUCGCACGAGGUGUUGGGAAUGCUGCUUUACAGAGCCGUGGUGAGGGAAUGGGAAAUUACAGGAGCACAGAGGAAAUCACCGCAAGUGCUGGGGCUCAGAGGGGUGGGAUUUGGAUGAUGCAAAGUCUCAGUGCUCCAAGCGGACUUGCACCACCCUGCUUAAAACCCUCCAGCCCCUUCACCAACUCCCACAGCGUGGCAGCGAGCUGGCCUUGUCCCCCGAGGGGGACGUGGGGCCAGGACUGCCCAGUGCUGGGGGCGCGCAGGCACGGCGCAGCGGAGGUGUGCCGCCACGGGGCUCUGGGGUGGACGCUGCGAGAAGGCUGAGGAACACCUCUCUGCGGCGACGAGCACCUCUCUGCAGGGAUGCACAGGUGCUCGGGGGAUUUUGGGAAGCGGGGGGUGCUUGUGGGGUGCUAGCAGACAGGGUGAAGGUGCAGAUCAGGGCGUGCUUGUGGCUACGGAGUCUGUGGGAUUUUCAGGUAUGAGAUGGUGUGAAGUCCCCUCCCAGGAGGCAGGGGGCUGCAGGGGCUUGUGCGGGGUGUUUAUGGCCGCGGCGGUGAUGUAUGAUCCAGCGGUGAGGGCAGGUGACGUGUGUGCGGCUGCAUUCAUGGGAACCUGGCCUGUGAGCAAAUGAACUGCAAUAUUUAACUGCGUCUCAUCUGCUGGCUGUGCCUGCCCUGAGAUGGGCUGGGGAGCACAGCACGCGAGAGCUGUCUCGCAUUAUUAUGACAAGUAAUUAGGGUGAUGUGAGAUGCUAAAAAAUUACUUUAUUAGGCAAAGGUGGCCUAUAAACCUCCUGGAAUAAACAGGCUUUUUA
ensembl:lncRNA